GGGUUGUGAGGUUAAGCGACUAAGCGUACACGGUGGAUGCCCUGGCAGUCAGAGGCGAUGAAGGACGUGCUAAUCUGCGAUAAGCGUCGGUAAGGUGAUAUGAACCGUUAUAACCGGCGAUUUCCGAAUGGGGAAACCCAGUGUGUUUCGACACACUAUCAUUAACUGAAUCCAUAGGUUAAUGAGGCGAACCGGGGGAACUGAAACAUCUAAGUACCCCGAGGAAAAGAAAUCAACCGAGAUUCCCCCAGUAGCGGCGAGCGAACGGGGAGCAGCCCAGAGCCUGAAUCAGUGUGUGUGUUAGUGGAAGCGUCUGGAAAGGCGCGCGAUACAGGGUGACAGCCCCGUACACAAAAAUGCACAUGCUGUGAGCUCGAUGAGUAGGGCGGGACACGUGGUAUCCUGUCUGAAUAUGGGGGGACCAUCCUCCAAGGCUAAAUACUCCUGACUGACCGAUAGUGAACCAGUACCGUGAGGGAAAGGCGAAAAGAACCCCGGCGAGGGGAGUGAAAAAGAACCUGAAACCGUGUACGUACAAGCAGUGGGAGCACGCUUAGGCGUGUGACUGCGUACCUUUUGUAUAAUGGGUCAGCGACUUAUAUUCUGUAGCAAGGUUAACCGAAUAGGGGAGCCGAAGGGAAACCGAGUCUUAACUGGGCGUUAAGUUGCAGGGUAUAGACCCGAAACCCGGUGAUCUAGCCAUGGGCAGGUUGAAGGUUGGGUAACACUAACUGGAGGACCGAACCGACUAAUGUUGAAAAAUUAGCGGAUGACUUGUGGCUGGGGGUGAAAGGCCAAUCAAACCGGGAGAUAGCUGGUUCUCCCCGAAAGCUAUUUAGGUAGCGCCUCGUGAAUUCAUCUCCGGGGGUAGAGCACUGUUUCGGCAAGGGGGUCAUCCCGACUUACCAACCCGAUGCAAACUGCGAAUACCGGAGAAUGUUAUCACGGGAGACACACGGCGGGUGCUAACGUCCGUCGUGAAGAGGGAAACAACCCAGACCGCCAGCUAAGGUCCCAAAGUCAUGGUUAAGUGGGAAACGAUGUGGGAAGGCCCAGACAGCCAGGAUGUUGGCUUAGAAGCAGCCAUCAUUUAAAGAAAGCGUAAUAGCUCACUGGUCGAGUCGGCCUGCGCGGAAGAUGUAACGGGGCUAAACCAUGCACCGAAGCUGCGGCAGCGACGCUUAUGCGUUGUUGGGUAGGGGAGCGUUCUGUAAGCCUGCGAAGGUGUGCUGUGAGGCAUGCUGGAGGUAUCAGAAGUGCGAAUGCUGACAUAAGUAACGAUAAAGCGGGUGAAAAGCCCGCUCGCCGGAAGACCAAGGGUUCCUGUCCAACGUUAAUCGGGGCAGGGUGAGUCGACCCCUAAGGCGAGGCCGAAAGGCGUAGUCGAUGGGAAACAGGUUAAUAUUCCUGUACUUGGUGUUACUGCGAAGGGGGGACGGAGAAGGCUAUGUUGGCCGGGCGACGGUUGUCCCGGUUUAAGCGUGUAGGCUGGUUUUCCAGGCAAAUCCGGAAAAUCAAGGCUGAGGCGUGAUGACGAGGUACUACGGUGCUGAAGCAACAAAUGCCCUGCUUCCAGGAAAAGCCUCUAAGCAUCAGGUAACAUCAAAUCGUACCCCAAACCGACACAGGUGGUCAGGUAGAGAAUACCAAGGCGCUUGAGAGAACUCGGGUGAAGGAACUAGGCAAAAUGGUGCCGUAACUUCGGGAGAAGGCACGCUGAUAUGUAGGUGAAGUCCCUCGCGGAUGGAGCUGAAAUCAGUCGAAGAUACCAGCUGGCUGCAACUGUUUAUUAAAAACACAGCACUGUGCAAACACGAAAGUGGACGUAUACGGUGUGACGCCUGCCCGGUGCCGGAAGGUUAAUUGAUGGGGUCAGCGCAAGCGAAGCUCUUGAUCGAAGCCCCGGUAAACGGCGGCCGUAACUAUAACGGUCCUAAGGUAGCGAAAUUCCUUGUCGGGUAAGUUCCGACCUGCACGAAUGGCGUAAUGAUGGCCAGGCUGUCUCCACCCGAGACUCAGUGAAAUUGAACUCGCUGUGAAGAUGCAGUGUACCCGCGGCAAGACGGAAAGACCCCGUGAACCUUUACUAUAGCUUGACACUGAACAUUGAGCCUUGAUGUGUAGGAUAGGUGGGAGGCUUUGAAGUGUGGACGCCAGUCUGCAUGGAGCCGACCUUGAAAUACCACCCUUUAAUGUUUGAUGUUCUAACGUUGACCCGUGAUCCGGGUUGCGGACAGUGUCUGGUGGGUAGUUUGACUGGGGCGGUCUCCUCCUAAAGAGUAACGGAGGAGCACGAAGGUUGGCUAAUCCUGGUCGGACAUCAGGAGGUUAGUGCAAUGGCAUAAGCCAGCUUGACUGCGAGCGUGACGGCGCGAGCAGGUGCGAAAGCAGGUCAUAGUGAUCCGGUGGUUCUGAAUGGAAGGGCCAUCGCUCAACGGAUAAAAGGUACUCCGGGGAUAACAGGCUGAUACCGCCCAAGAGUUCAUAUCGACGGCGGUGUUUGGCACCUCGAUGUCGGCUCAUCACAUCCUGGGGCUGAAGUAGGUCCCAAGGGUAUGGCUGUUCGCCAUUUAAAGUGGUACGCGAGCUGGGUUUAGAACGUCGUGAGACAGUUCGGUCCCUAUCUGCCGUGGGCGCUGGAGAAUUGAGGGGGGCUGCUCCUAGUACGAGAGGACCGGAGUGGACGCAUCACUGGUGUUCGGGUUGUCAUGCCAAUGGCACUGCCCGGUAGCUAAAUGCGGAAGAGAUAAGUGCUGAAAGCAUCUAAGCACGAAACUUGCCCCGAGAUGAGUUCUCCCUGACUCCUUGAGAGUCCUGAAGGAACGUUGAAGACGACGACGUUGAUAGGCCGGGUGUGUAAGCGCAGCGAUGCGUUGAGCUAACCGGUACUAAUGAACCGUGAGGCUUAACCUUACAACGCCGAAGCUGUU
rnacentral:rRNA from 1 species